AGUACUACGUGACUAAUCUACCCUCGAAGUGGUGGAAUAAUCUGAGAGAAAUCUUAUGCUAAUACCGCAGUAAUCACUUCCACGAGUCAAAGCAGCAAUGCGCUUGGAGAGGAGUUCGCGGCCGAUUAGUUAGUUGGCGGGGUAAUGGCCCAUCCAAGUACGAAUGAUCGGUAUCCCGGCCUGAGAGGGCGGUCACGGGUACACACUGGAACUGAAACACGGUCCAGUACUCCUACGGGCAGGCAGUCAGUGGGGAAUUUUGCGCAAUGGGGGAAAGCCCUGACGCAGGCAACGCCGGCGUGGAGGAUGAACGUAUCUCGUGUACGUAAGACUCCUUUCUGAUGGGGAAGAUAAUGACGGUACCCAUAGAAUGAAGCCCCGGCUAACUUCGUGCCAGCUAGCCGCGGUAAUACGAGGGGGGCAAUGACGUUGUUCGGAUUUAUUGGGCGUAAAGGGUGCGUAGGCAGGUUUGGCAAGUCUUGUGUGAAAUCUAUGGGCUCAUAACCAUAGCCUGCACGAGAAACUACCGGGCUUGAGUGGAUGGAGAG
rnacentral:rRNA from 1 species